UACGGAGGAUGCGAGCGUUAUCCGGAUUUAUUGGGUUUAAAGGGUGCGUAGGCGGAUCGUUAAGUCAGUGGUCAAAUUGAGGGGCUCAGCCCCUUCCCGCCAUUGAAACUGGCGCUCUUGAGUGGAAGAGAAGUAUGCGGAAUGCGUGGUGUAGCGGUGAAAUGCAUAGAUAUCACGCAGAACCCCGAUUGCGAAGGCAGCAUGCCGGCUUCCGACUGACGCUGAAGCACGAAAGCGUGGGGAUCGAACAGG
rnacentral:rRNA from 1 species